rnacentral:rRNA from 2 species
ACGGGAGGCAGCAGUGGGGAAUAUUGCACAAUGGGCGAAAGCCUGAUGCAGCGACGCCGCGUGAGUGAUGAAGUAUUUCGGUAUGUAAAGCUCUAUCAGCAGGGAAGAAAAUGACGGUACCUGACUAAGAAGCCCCGGCUAACUACGUGCCAGCAGCCGCGGUAAUACGUAGGGGGCAAGCGUUAUCCGGAUUUACUGGGUGUAAAGGGAGCGUAGGUGGCAAGGCAAGCCAGAAGUGAAAAUCCGGGGCUCAACCCCGGAACUGCUUUUGGAACUGUCUAGCUAGAGUGCAGGAGAGGUAAGCGGAAUUCCUAGUGUAGCGGUGAAAUGCGUAGAUAUUAGGAGGAACACCAGUGGCGAAGGCGGCUUACUGGACUGUAACUGACACUGAGGCUCGAAAGCGUGGGGAGCAAACAGGAUUAGAUACCCUGGUA